AUAGUCAAGGGAUGUUGUUCCCAGACCUGGCUCAUGCCCAGGCCAUUGGGCAUUGCUGGAAGAGCAGAGGGUGACUUCUGCUCUGUCACUGCAGCCACCUCUUGGCCUGCCUGCUUUAUUCUUCUGUGUCACUUAAUAUAAAUUAUAAAAUAUUAAAUCAGAUAAAUACCUCUAACCUUUCUGGAUGAUAAGAAAAGAUAUUGCUCAGCCUCCUAAAAUGCCUUGUAUGCGCUGGAAAAUGCUAAUGGGAUUAUAUAAAGGUUAUUUCAGCCUCCUUUCAAGUCUGGAGACAUGGCAAAACAAUCAUGAUGCCCUUUGUUUAUGCCUUUUUAAUGACUGCUUUUACCUUCAGGUGUUUGAGGCUUUGCAUCUUUUCAGGUGAUCCUCUGGGAAGUCCUUGCGCUGCUGCUUUGUGGGAACUUCCUGAGGAAUGUAAACGUGCUUGUGAUUUUAGAGGUCUGGAGGAGAGCUGGGCUGUUGGAGCACUCUGGGAGUCUGGCAAGGGUUUGUUGUGCAUGUUUUGAUGCCCUUGUGUAUUUUGCCGGUCAGGAGCUGCAUCCACGGGUCCAACAAGCUCCUGUGCUGUGUCUGUGCAGCAGUGCCUGCACCGGUGAGCUGCAGUGCACCUCUGGGGCACUGCUCAUGUCCUUCCCUCGAGGCCCCUGCUGUCAGCCUGUGCCAGGCUGUGCAGGGAGGAGCUCAGUGUGUGGCACAGCCCUUUUUUCAUCCUCCAGUGCAGAGGGACCUUUGCUACACCGUGCAGGAGGGAAUUUCUGGAUGGAGUAAUUGGAGAGGAAGAAGAAAUUGUUCCUGGAGAGCAGAGGGCAGGUUAGCUGAGCCAGCAGGUUUCACAGCCAUCAUUCACAGCUGGAAAGAGAAGGUGGUUGUCACUGCCUGUGGAAUACAAAAGCAUUUAGGCAAGAGCAGAGGCAGGAUUUCACAGCGUCAAAAGGUCGAUCUUGUUUCGGUUCCACACUGAGGAGUCCCUCACCAUAUUUUUGCUGCUGGCCAUGGGACCCUGAGACAAAGAAAUGCUGCUGAUUCCUGGUAGGCUGCAAUGAGAGUGCUGAGUGCAUUUCUCUGCUACACUGGCAUGAGUCAAUGUGAGUUCAACCUUUGGAAAAUUGUUUCUUGAAGGCCAGAAACAUUUGUUUGUCCUACAGUUAAACAUCUUUUGCUGACACAUCAGAGCCACCACAGUCCAUCGCUCAGUGUCCUGAGUGACAGCCCAGCUUAACUGAGGCCCCAUGGAUGCCUAACAGGAUAAAAAAAGGACAUGAAAUGUUCUAAUGUCUGCAGUUAAUGGGGUCAAAGGAGGCCCACAAUGGAAAACUUCAUUUUCAGAUGACUUUUGACUGUGCUGUUACAGUGCUUUUUCAGCAUUGUCUGUCAUGUUUUUAAGGCAUAAAAAUAAUUUUCUUCUUAACAAAUCUUACAAUGGUUUUAUUUUUUUUUUCCAUUCAUGAAAAGCCCAUUUGUCACACCCCCUUAUAGUUUCCUAUAUUUCUUCCUUUCUCUCAAAGCUUGGUUUGA